CCUACGGGAGGCUGCAGUGAGGAAUAUUGGUCAAUGGGCGCUAGCCUGAACCAGCCAAGUAGCGUGAAGGAUGACUGCCCUAUGGGUUGUAAACUUCUUUUAUAUGGGAAUAAAGUGCAGUAUGUAUACUGCUUUGCAUGUACCUUAUGAAUAAGGAUCGGCUAAAUCCGUGCCAGCAGCCGCGGUAAUACGGAGGAUCCGAGCGUUAUCCGGAUUUAUUGGGUUUAAAGGGAGCGUAGGCGGGUUGUUAAGUCAGUUGUGAAAGUUUGCGGCUCAACCGUAAAAUUGCAGUUGAUACUGGCAGCCUUGAGUACAGUAGAGGUAGGCGGAAUUCGUGGUGUAGCGGUGAAAUGCUUAGAUAUCACGAAGAACUCCGAUUGCGAAGGCAGCCUGCUGGACUGUAACUGACGCUGAUGCUCGAAAGUGUGGGUAUCAAACAGGAUUAGAUACCCUAGUAGUC
rnacentral:rRNA from 1 species